rnacentral:rRNA from 1 species
UACGGAGGGGGCUAGCGUUGUUCGGAAUUACUGGGCGUAAAGCGCACGUAGGCGGAUUGUUAAGUCAGGGGUGAAAUCCUGGAGCUCAACUCCAGAACUGCCUUUGAUACUGGCGAUCUCGAGUCCGGGAGAGGUGAGUGGAACUGCGAGUGUAGAGGUGAAAUUCGUAGAUAUUCGCAAGAACACCAGUGGCGAAGGCGGCUCACUGGCCCGGUACUGACGCUGAGGUGCGAAAGCGUGGGGAGCAAACAGGG